rnacentral:rRNA from 1 species
AGCGAACGCUGGCGGCAUGCUUAACACAUGCAAGUCGCGCGGGUGGUUUCGGCCAUCAGCGGCGGACGGGUGAGUAUCGCGUAGGAAUGUAUCCCGAGGUGGGGGACAACCCUGGGAAACUGGGGCUAAUACCGCAUGGGGCCUGUGGGUCAAAGCCUUAGGGCGCCUUGGGAGCAGCCUGCGUCCGAUUAGGUAGUUGGUGGGGUAAAGGCCUACCAAGCCUGCGAUCGGUAGCUGGUCUGAGAGGACGAUCAGCCACACUGGAACUGAGACACGGCCCAGACUCCUACGGGAGGCAGCAGUGGGGAAUAUUGGACAAUGGGCGCAAGCCUGAUCCAGCAAUGCCGCGUGGGUGAAGAAGGUCUUCGGAUUGUAAAGCCCUUUCGGCGGGGACGAUGAUGACGGUACCCGCAGAAGAAGCCCCGGCUAACUUCGUG